AUUUUAGUGCCCGCUACUGGACGUCACAGGCUCUGUGUUGACAAAGAUUAAAAUAUUAGUUAUUUACAUCCUUGAUGUUGACGUUGGACUGUGGAUUUACAAGCAUACAUAACCGAUCAGAGAGAUUUCUUAUUCGAAAAGGAAAAAAUGACGAGCAUAACACAUCUCUUUAAUGUUACUUUUCAACACAUGCUUCUAUCAAAUCGAAAAGAUACGAGGGAAUCAACUCAAGACACAAAAAAAUGAAAAAAAAAGCAAAAAAUAAAAAGAGCACAUUUAUUGUAUAUCUUCAUGAAAGUCGCAGUGAUCAAAAGCACUCCUGUCACUGCGAGUUCAAUACAGUCCCUAGCAUAACUUUAACGAUUAAUAUUGAACAUUUUUACAAUACCAAGGUUACCAUACAAAACCUUGGAAAUUCAGAGCACUAUACACAGCCGGACAUUUUUUUUCUGAGACAACUACCCGUGGUCUUGUUUCUUUGAUGACCUAACUGUCCUCCAUAAAGUAUGAAACCUAAAACGUUGGAGACCACAAGUAUCAAA
rnacentral:lncRNA from 1 species